GCACAAGUCCCUCAGGCCCUGGUUCUCACAGCAGCAAAAGUCACAGCAGUGAAUGGUGUAUAGAAUCAUAGAAUCAUAGAAUGGUUUGGGUUGGAAGGGACCUUUAAGAUCAUCUAGCUCCACCCCCCUGCCAUAGGCAGGGACACCUCCCUCUAGAGCCCAAUCCAGCCUGGCCUUGGGGCUUUGACACAUGGGCAUGGACACAGGGAGGCUCUAACACAUCUGAUUUACCUCAGGUUUGUGCCAGUAACAAAUCUGCUUGUUCAUUCAUUCCUCUAGAUUAGGACUGAAGUGUACAUGGAGGCCAAUGUACAUGGACCCCAAUACCCCACUGAAGACUUGGUGCAUGCAUGCAGAGAGUCCUGGAAGUAUCUACGGUGUGCUCAGAAAAAGGCAGGAGGAAGGAUGCUGUCUGUGCACAGCUUUGGUCUGCUGAUGAGGUCUGACUGCAAGAGAAUCCCAGUGGCAAUGAACUGAUGUGGUUGUGUUGUAUUUUUAAGGUGGGAUCAAAUUUCUUUAUUU
rnacentral:lncRNA from 1 species